rnacentral:rRNA from 1 species
AAUGAACGUUGGCGGCGUGGAUUAGGCAUGCAAGUCGAACGCCCCGCAAGGGGAGUGGCGCAAGGGUGAGUAAGGCGACGGUAACCAACCCCGCGGUUGGGCAUAGCCGAGGGAAACCUCGGGUAAUUCCCAGCGACGUCGAGGUGCGGCAUCGCACCUCGACCAAAGAUUCAUCGCCGAGGGACGGGCCGUCGUGGUAUUAGCUAGUUGGUGGGGUGACGGCCCACCAAGGCUGCGAUGCCUACCGGGUGUGCGAGCAUGGCCCGGCACACUGGGACUGAGACACUGCCCAGACUCCUACGGGAGGCUGCAGUCGAGAAUCUUCGGCAAUGGGCGCAAGCCUGACCGAGCGACGCCGCGUGGAGGACGAAGGCCUUCGGGUUGUAAACUCCUGUCGAGGGGGAGGAAGCCGCCGCGAGGCGGUUGACCGAUCCCUGGAGGAAGGACGGGCUAAGUUCGUGCCAGCCGCCGCGGUAAAAC